rnacentral:rRNA from 1 species
AGAGUUUGAUCAUGGCUCAGAACGAACGCUGGCGGCAGGCUUAACACAUGCAAGUCGAACGAACUCUUCGGAGUUAGUGGCAGACGGGUGAGUAACGCGUGGGAACCUACCUUUAGGUACGGAACAACAGUUGGAAACGACUGCUAAUACCGUAUGUGCCCUAUGGGGGAAAGAUUUAUCGCCUAAGGAUGGGCCCGCGUUGGAUUAGCUAGUUGGUGGGGUAACGGCCUACCAAGCCUACGAUCAGUAGCUGGUUUUAGAGGAUGAUCAGCCACACUGGGACUGAGACACGGCCCAGACUCCUACGGGAGGCAGCAGUGGGGAAUAUUGGACAAUGGGGGCAACCCUGAUCCAGCCAUGCCGCGUGAGUGAUGAAGGCCCUAGGGUUGUAAAGCUCUUUCAGCGAGGAGGAUAAUGACGUUACUCGCAGAAGAAGCCCCGGCUAACUUCGUGCCAGCAGCCGCGGUAAUAC